GAUGAACGCUGGCGGCGUGCCUAAUACAUGCCAGUCGAGCGAACAGACGAGGAGCUUGCUCCUCUGACGUUAGCGGCGGACGGGUGAGUAACACGUGGAUAACCUACCUAUAAGACUGGGAUAACUUCGGGAAACCGGAGCUAAUACCGGAUAAUAUAUUGAACCGCAUGGUUCAAUAGUGAAAGACGGUUUUGCUGUCACUUAUAGAUGGAUCCGCGCCGCAUUAGCUAGUUGGUAAGGUAACGGCUUACCAAGGCGACGAUGCGUAGCCGACCUGAGAGGGUGAUCGGCCACACUGGAACUGAGACACGGUCCAGACUCCUACGGGAGGCAGCAGUAGGGAAUCUUCCGCAAUGGGCGAAAGCCUGACGGAGCAACGCCGCGUGAGUGAUGAAGGUCUUCGGAUCGUAAAACUCUGUUAUUAGGGAAGAACAAAUGUGUAAGUAACUAUGCACGUCUUGAUGGUACCUAAUCAGAAAGCCACGGCUAACUACGUG
rnacentral:rRNA from 1 species